rnacentral:rRNA from 1 species
UGCGGUAGGGGAGACUGGAAUUCCCGGUGUAACGGUGGAAUGUGUAGAUAUCGGGAAGAACACCAAUGGCGAAGGCAGGUCUCUGGGCCGUUACUGACGCUGAGGAGCGAAAGCGUGGGGAGCGAACAGGAUUAGAUACCCUGGUAGUCCACGCCGUAAACGGUGGAUGCUGGAUGUGGGGCCCGUUCCACGGGUUCCGUGUCGGAGCUAACGCGUUAAGCAUCCCGCCUGGGGAGUACGGCCGCAAGGCUAAAACUCAAAGAAAUUGACGGGGGCCCGCACAAGCGGCGGAGCAUGCGGAUUAAUUCGAUGCAACGCGAAGAACCUUACCUGGGCUUGACAUGUUCCCGACGGUCGUAGAGAUACGGCUUCCCUUCGGGGCGGGUUCACAGGUGGUGCAUGGUCGUCGUCAGCUCGUGUCGUGAGAUGUUGGGUUAAGUCCCGCAACGAGCGCAACCCUCGCCCCGUGUUGCCAGCGGAUUAUGCCGGGAACUCACGGGGGACCGCCGGGGUUAACUCGGAGGAAGGUGGGGAUGACGUCAGAUCAUCAUGCCCCUUACGUCCAGGGCUUCACGCAUGCUACAAUGGCCGGUACAACGGGAUGCGACGCGGCGACGCGGAGCGGAUCCCUGAAAACCGGUCUCAGUUCGGAUCGCAGUCUGCAACUCGACUGCGUGAAGGCGGAGUCGCUAGUAAUCGCGAAUCAGCAACGUCGCGGUGAAUGCGUUCCCGGGCCUUGUACACACCGCCCGUCAAGUCAUGAAAGUGGGCAGCACCCGAAGCCGGUGGCCUAACCCCUUGUGGGAUGGAGCCGUCUAAGGUGAGGCUCGUGAUUGGGACUAAGUCGUAACAAGGUAGCCGUACCGGAAGGUGCGGCUG